rnacentral:lncRNA from 1 species
GUGGAUGAGGUCUCGAGGUGCCCCAUGAACGGACGCUUAGGUUUUUAGUGAGCAAACCUAUUGAUCAACUACAACUAAGACAAAACCUACCAUCGAAGCUUUUCAAGCUCAUCCCAAAGGGAGCUUGGGCUCACCCACUAAAGGUCAUCGGAUCAAGCACAACCCAAUCGAAGCAAUAGCGACAUGCAAAAGAAGGCCUUCGAAGGCCAAUGAGUCAAGGCCUAGGAGUGCUUCCGACGACCUCAAAAUUAUCUGAAAAAUUCUCGACUAGAUCCAAGGCCACCUUGUCAUAAUCAGAGGCGGAAGAAGCCAACUCAGCACUGAUAAAGACUCUGCAGCAAUGAUCUCCAUGAUCACCUUUAGGGCUACAGCCAAAGUACCUUGAAGCGCCCGAUUAUUGGACCCAUGAGUGCCCAACGACCGUGAACACCUACCAAGGGACCACUCUAUCAACCAUUCGAAGCCCAUCAGUGGUGUUUUCUCAGACUUACCUGCAUCCCC